UUGCGCCUACGGGGCGCAGCAGUGGGGAAUAUUGCACAAUGGGCGCAAGCCUGAUGCAGCGACGCCGCGUGCGGGAUGGAGGCCUUCGGGUUGUAAACCGCUUUUGUUCAAGGGCAAGGCACGGUCUUUGGCCGUGUUGAGUGGAUUGUUCGAAUAAGCACCGGCUAACUACGUGCCAGCAGCCGCGGUAAUACGUAGGGUGCAAGCGUUAUCCGGAUUUAUUGGGCGUAAAGGUCUCGUAGGCGGUUCGUCGCGUCCGGUGUGCAAGUCCAUCGCUUAACGGGGGAUCCGCGCCGGGUACGGGG
rnacentral:rRNA from 1 species